CUUCUCACAGUCUGCUUCAGCUUUUUGCCUGCGUUUGAUCUCUACAUCCACUUGAUUGCGAGCGUGUUUCAGCUUCACAUCCAAAGCACUACGCUCAGCUUCACUUUUCAUCAGAAGGUCUUUGUACCUACCAAGCUCCUGCUCAGUUUUCUGCCACUUUCUUCGAUAGUCUUCAAAGUUCUUUGCCAACUGAAUAAAUUGGUACUCGUUUCCUUCACUUAAAACUUCAGCCUGGCGUAUGAGUUGGUCACACAAAUUCCACAGAUUCCGCACUGUGGUAUCCAUCCUCGGUGUCCGAGCUCCCGCUCCAACAGCCGGCCUCAACUGCCC
rnacentral:lncRNA from 1 species